rnacentral:rRNA from 1 species
UACGUAGGGUGCAAGCGUUGUCCGGAAUUAUUGGGCGUAAAGAGCUCGUAGGCGGUUUGUCGCGUCGGCUGUGAAAACUCGGGGCUCAACCCCGAGCCUGCAGUCGAUACGGGCAGACUAGAGUGCGGUAGGGGAGACUGGAAUUCCUGGUGUAGCGGUGAAAUGCGCAGAUAUCAGGAGGAACACCGGUGGCGAAGGCGGGUCUCUGGGCCGUAACUGACGCUGAGGCGCGAAAGCGUGGGGAGCAAACAGG